AACCAAUUGGCUUCCGUUUUAGGAACCUUCGCACCAAUCCUAGCCCACAGUUAGACAUCUCCAGUGAGACAUCUUCAAAAUCCACAUUUCGCACCAGUGCCGGUCCCUGGCAUCACAAUAAGACGCUCUCAACCUGAUGGUGAGCAGCUGACACCUUCUAUCCUGC